GGCAUACUGAGCUAGUGGUUUGAGUGUGAGACUACAACUCUGGAGACCAGGGUUCGAUUCCCCGCUGGGCCA